rnacentral:rRNA from 1 species
GUUGAAAAACCAUGGGAUGAGCUGUGGAUAGCGGAGAAAUUCCAAUCGAACUCGGAGAUAGCUGGUUCUCCUCGAAAUAGCUUUAGGGCUAGCGUCGUGUAAUUGAGUAAUGGAGGUAGAGCACUGAAUGGGCUAGGGGCUAUAGUAGUUACCGAACCCUAUCAAACUCCGAAUGCCAUAUACUUGUAUCACGGCAGUCAGACUGCGAAUGAUAAGAUCCGUAGUCAAAAGGGAAACAGCCCAGACCAUCAGCUAAGGUCCCAAAGUGUAAGUUAAGUGGAAAAGGAUGUGGGAUUUCUAAGACAACUAGGAUGUUGGCUUAGAAGCAGCCACUCAUUUAAAGAGUGCGUAAUAGCUCACUAGUCAAGAGAUCCUGCGCCGAAGAUGUCCGGGGCUCAAACUUACCACCGAAGCUAUGGGUGUACACUAUGUGUACGCGGUAGAGGAGCUUUCUGUAUGGGUUGAAGUCGUACCGUAAGGAGCGGUGGACUGUACAGAAGUGAGAAUGCUGGCAUAAGUAGCGAGAAAUAAGUGAGAAUCUUAUUGGCCGAAAACCUAAGGUUUCCUGAGGAAGGUUCGUCCGCUCAGGGUUAGUCGGGACCUAAGCCGAGGCCGAAAGGCGUAGGUGAUGGACAAUCGGUUGAUAUUCCGAUACCACCUAUUUACGUUUGAGAAAUGGGGUGACGCAGUAGGAUAAGAUGUGCGCACUAUUGGAUGUGCGUCUAAGCACUUAGGCAUGCUUGAUAGGCAAAUCCGUCGAGCUAAGCUGAGGUGUGAUGGGGAGCCAUUUAUGGCGAAGUAUCUGAUUCCACACUGCCAAGAAAAGCCUCUAUCGAGUGAAUAGGUGCCCGUACCGCAAACCGACACAGGUAGGUGAGGAGAGAAUCCUAAGGCCAUCGGAAGAAUUGCUGUUAAGGAACUCGGCAAAUUGACCCCGUAACUUCGGGAGAAGGGGUGCCUACGAAAGUAGGCCGCAGAGAAUAGGCCCAAGCAACUGUUUAGCAAAAACACAGGUCUCUGCUAAAGCGAAAGCUGAUGUAUAGGGGCUGACGCCUGCCCGGUGCUGGAAGGUUAAGGGGAACACUUAGCGUAAGCGAAGGUGUGAACUUAAGCCCCAGUAAACGGCGGCCGUAACUAUAACGGUCCUAAGGUAGCGAAAUUCCUUGUCGGGUAAGUUCCGACCCGCACGAAUGGCGUAAUGAUUUGGGCACUGUCUCAACAGCAAAUCCGGCGAAAUUGUAGUGCAAGUGAAGAUGCUUGCUACCCGCGAUUGGACGGAAAGACCCCGUAGAGCUUUACUGUAGCUUAGCAUUGAAUCUCGGUAUUGUCUGUACAGGAUAGGUGGGAGACUUGGAAACUUGGGCGUCAGCCUGAGUGGAGUCAUCCUUGGGAUACCACCCUGACAGUACUGGGGUUCUAACCGGAGGCCAUGAAUCUGGUCACGGGACAUUGUUAGGUGGGCAGUUUGACUGGGGCGGUCGCCUCCUAAAAAGUAACGGAGGCGCCCAAAAGUUCCCUCAGCGCGGUCGGAAAUCGCGCGAAGAGUGCAAAGGCAGAAGGGAGCUUGACUGCGACACAUACAGGUGGAGCAGGGACGAAAGUCGGGCUUAGUGAUCCGGUGGUACCUCGUGGGAGGGCCAUCGCUCAACGGAUAAAAGCUACCUCGGGGAUAACAGGCUGAUCUCCCCCAAGAGUCCACAUCGACGGGGAGGUUUGGCACCUCGAUGUCGGCUCGUCGCAUCCUGGGGCUGAAGUAGGUCCCAAGGGUUGGGCUGUUCGCCCAUUAAAGCGGCACGCGAGCUGGGUUCAGAACGUCGUGAGACAGUUCGGUCCCUAUCCGUCGCGGGCGUAGGAAAUUUGAGAGGAGCUGUCCUUAGUACGAGAGGACCGGGAUGGACCAACCUCUGGUGCACCAGUUGUCACGCCAGUGGCACAGCUGGGUAGCUAUGUUGGGACUGGAUAAACGCUGAAAGCAUCUAAGCGUGAAGCCAACCUCAAGAUGAGAUUUCCCAUAGCGUAAGCUAGUAAGACUCCUGGAAGAACACCAGGUUGAUAGGUCAGAGAUGUAAGCAUGGCAACAUGUUAAGUUGACUGAUACUAAUAAGUCGAGGGCUUGACC